rnacentral:rRNA from 1 species
AACGAACGCUGGCGGCAUGCCUAACACAUGCAAGUCGAACGAGACCUCCGGGUCUAGUGGCGCACGUGUGCGUAACGCGUGGUAACCUGCCCUUAGGUUCGGAAUACCUCCCCGAAAGGGGUGCUAAUACCGGUUAAUGUCUUCGCACCAAAGAUUUAUCGCCAUUGGAUGGGCGCGCGUUAGAUUCGCUAGUUGGUAGUGUAAAAGCGUGCCAAGGCGACGAUGCAUAGCUGGUCUGAGAGGAGGAUAAGCUACACUGGGACUGAGACACGGCCCAGACUCGUACGGGAGGCAGGAGAAGGGAAUAUUGGACGAGGAGCGAAAGUCUGAUAAAGCAAUGUCGCGUGAGUGAUGAAGGCCGUAGGGUUGUAAAGCUCUUUUACCCGGGAUGAUAAUGACAGUACCGGGAGAAUAAGCACCGGCUAACUCCGUG